GACACGUGUCUCCUUUCGAAUUCCUUUAUGUUUAUGCAAGCCUUGAUUUUCCGUCUGCCUCUCUUUCUACCAUCUAUUUGUUCUUCCGCCUUCCACAAUCCGCCUUUUCUUCUCCGCUAUCAAUCUACACAUCAACGCAUCCCCUCUCUUUGUCUACGUACAUAUACAUAGCAGUUGCCACCAUCGUUUGCCUCCAAGUGUUGAAAGAAGAUGGAAUUAGGUCGCUCCCGUCUUAUUGAAGCCUCGGUUUGUCGUUUGCUUAUCCGCUUUUGUAUACUAGGGCAUAGAUAACCAGAAGCGACCACCAUGAAUGAUCGACCCCUACCACGACCAUUGUUGACUCCUACUUAUCGUUCAAAUCAAAAGUUAUCCUCUAUUUGUCUCUCACCACCGUUACUAUAGGGUGGUUCUUCUCGCAUUGGAACCGACAGCUUCCCCUCCCUAGUACGUCUUCAACGUCCCUGGUUUCUAUUGACGUUGCCUUCUUCCCCCAAAUUCUUAUUGUGGGUUUUGCUUGGUGGUGUCAGACGACAAGAGGAUCAAAUUGAAGAUUAACAAAUAUGCUUUCCCACCAACGUCAACCCUUACUCGCUUCUAAUGCUUCCCUCUUCUAAAAAAAUAUGGUAACAAAAACACGCACCGGCACAAUAUUUUUUCUCGAUGAAUAUAAAUUCAAGUGGUAGAUUAUGGAGAAGGGUGAUAGUAACAUCGUUUGAAUCAUUGCCAAAGGAGUUGUUUCAACUUUCAAUGUCUUUACAAGUUGUUGGUCAAGGUAAUGAAUUUGAAUUUGCAUUUGUUUUAAAUUCCUUACUCGAUUGUUUAAUUUUGGUUCAAUUUCUUCUCGAUAAAUUUAGUCUUUGGGGUUUUUGAUGCUUUGAUGAUGUUUUCAAGUCGGAUGUUUGACUAUGUCUUACAUGUGUAUGAUAAAACACCUAAGAGGGAUCAAAAUUUAAGGGAAUCCUUAUUCUAUUAUAGAAAUUUAGGUUUUUUUUUUUUGAAGUUUAAUUUCCUUAUAUCUUUACUAAGGGUUCUUUUUUCAUUGGGACACUACAAGAAGCUAUCAAGAGACAUGUAUGAGGUUUGGAUAUAGAACUGAUUCCAUGUUUCAUUUCAUUGUAACUCCUCAAAAAUUAUGCUGCAAUUAGAGGGACUUACAUGAAACUCUAAUGAGGAAGACAUGCCAAACACGUAAACCUUAAAUAGGGCUGCUGGAGUUGUCUGUGAUGGAAUAUUUGGUAGAGAUGUAUGAGUGGUCUGGAUCAAGUUGGGAACCAUACCCAUACGAUGCAAAUGCAGUUCAAGUCCAGUUCUACUUCUGCAUGAUGAGCCUUUAUGUAUUGAAGACCAUAUCCACUAAUAAUAAGGUUUUGGAUACAGGCGGAUUCUUGCAAACUUUAGGUUAUGAAAUGUGGCCUCCAUUGUUUUUGAAGAAAAUGGAGGAUUAUGUCAACAAUCCCGCAAAUAUGCAUCAUUUUAGUUUAAUGAAUACGAAAACCUUUGUGAACCUAAAAGGCUCUGGCGGUAACAUAUGGGAAGUAUUUGAAGUUUUAGAUGAUGCCCGACGUGCUAUUUUCAGAAAUACCAUCUUUGGCUAUUUUAUUGAUGUCCCUCGUUUACAAGGGAACGCUUUAUUGUUUCAUAAAAUGUUCUUUCAUCAGAUCCGGCCGGACCCUGUUUUAUCUCCAGAUGGAAUAAAACGUUUAUAUUUUCGAGUAGGCAAUACCAAAAUGGUUUAUGGGCCGGAAGAGUUUUGUUUGAUUACCGGCUUCAAUUUUGGGGAGUAUCCAAAAAACAUUGGGAGAAAAGGGUCGGAAAAAUUAAUAAGCGGUAAAAAAAGAUGUUUACUGCGUGAAAGGCUAUUUCCGGACCAUACUAAUAGUUCGGUGAAAAUCGGCGACCUGAAAAGUUUAAUUUUAAAUCAAACAUUCCUAGCACUUGACGACUUUGAUGCAGUUAGAGUAUGUUUGAUAUACAUUUUGUGUGAAGGUUUUUGGGCAAAGAAGUUAAUGAUCGGGUGCCACAAGAUUGGUUUAAUUUGGCUGAGAAUUUGGAUCUCUAGAAUAGCUUCGCUUGGGGUAGCUAUCUCUGGGAUUUUACUUAUGUUGACCUUGAGGAUACAUGGAAUAAGAUACAUAAUUAUUUAUCACUUCCUGAGCGUGGUCAAACUUUAAAGUAUUCCGUCUCAGGAUUUACGGCUCCAAUAAGGGUAUAAAAAUUUUCUUAUAUUUAAAUUGUUUUAUUGUUAUGUUUUUUAUUUUAAUUUUAACUUUUAUUACUGUAAUUGUAAAAAAUUGUAGAUAUGGAUAUAUGAGAUGAUUCCGGCUGUUCGUGCAUGUGGAUUUGCAUCGAGAAAAAAUAAAGACUUGCCUCGGAUGAAAAGAUGGAGUGGAACAAAAAAAUUGAAAUGGGUUGACGUGAACAAGAUUUGGUCAAAGAUGCAGGAGGGGCUACCACCAAGACAAAACAUGAUGAGUGUGAGGAAAAAUGUUGGCAACGGAUGUUGCUAUAGAUGGAGACCUAUCAGAUAUAAUUGUAAGCUCCUGCAUAUUUCCUAUGCAAUCACGUAGUUUUUGAAAAAACCAUGUCCAAGAAUCAGUACACUCAUUUUUGCAUAUACCAUAUGCAACCGGUAAUAUU